ACCCCCACGCCUGCAUCUGGCCCGAGGAGCAGGGCUUAGCUGCUUGUGAGCAGGGUCUGCAGCAAGUCGUGUUCACAGUGGCUAAGUUCCGCCCCCCCGGGUCCCCGCCUCGUCCCUGCCGC
rnacentral:pre_miRNA from 15 species